rnacentral:rRNA from 1 species
UUGCUGAAUUAUUCCACCCGUGUCUUUUGCGUACUUCUUGUUUCCUUGGUGGGCUCGCCCACCACAAGGACCAACCCAUAAACCUUUUUGCAAUGGCAAUCAGCGUCAGUAACAAUGUAAUAAUUUACAACUUUCAACAACGGAUCUCUUGGUUCUGGCAUCGAUGAAGAACGCAGCGAAAUGCGAUAAGUAGUGUGAAUUGCAGAAUUCAGUGAAUCAUCGAAUCUUUGAACGCACAUUGCGCCCUUUGGUAUUCCAAAGGGCAUGCCUGUUCGAGCGUCAUUUGUACCCUCAAGCUUUGCUUGGUGUUGGGCGUCUUUUUGUCUCCCCUUGCGGGAGACUCGCCUUAAAGUCAUUGGCAGCCGGCCUACUGGUUUCGGAGCGCAGCACAAGUCGCGCUCUCUUCCAGCCCCAAGGUCUAGCAUCCACCAAGCCUUUUUUUUCAACUUUUGACCUCGGAUCAGGUAGGGAUACCCGCUGAACUUAAGCA